rnacentral:rRNA from 1 species
UGGGGAAUAUUGCACAAUGGGCGCAAGCCUGAUGCAGCCAUGCCGCGUGUAUGAAGAAGGCCUUCGGGUUGUAAAGUACUUUCAGCGAGGAGGAAGGUGUUGUGGUUAAUAACCGCAGCAAUUGACGUUACUCGCAGAAGAAGCACCGGCUAACUCCGUGCCAAGCAGCCGCGGUAAUACGGAGGGUUGCAAGCGUUAAUCGGAAUUACUGGGCGUAAAGCGCACGCAGGCGGUCUGUCAAGUCGGAUGUGAAAUCCCCGGGCUCAAGCCUGGGAACUGCAUCCGAAACUGGCAGGCUAGAGUCUUGUAGAGGGGGUAGAAUUCCAGGUGUAGCGGUGAAAUUGCGUAGAGAUCUGGAGGAAUACCGGUGGCGAAGGCGGCCCCCUGACAAAGACUGACGCUCAGGUGCGAAAGCGUGGGAGCAAAC